UACGUAGGGUGCGAGCGUUGUCCGGAAUUAUUGGGCGUAAAGAGCUCGUAGGCGGUUUGUCGCGUCGGCCGUGAAAACUUGGGGCUUAACCCCGAGCCUGCGGUCGAUACGGGCAGACUUGAGUUCGGCAGGGGAGACUGGAAUUCCUGGUGUAGCGGUGAAAUGCGCAGAUAUCAGGAGGAACACCGGUGGCGAAGGCGGGUCUCUGGGCAAUAACUGACGCUGAGGAGCGAAAGCGUGGGGAGCGAACAGG
rnacentral:rRNA from 1 species